rnacentral:rRNA from 1 species
GACGUAGGGUGCAAGCGUUGUCCGGAUUUACUGGGCGUAAAGCGCGCGUAGGCGGCUCGUUAAGUGUGGAGUGAAAUGCCGGGGCUCAACCCCGGAACUGCUUUACACUACUGGCGAGCUUGAGGGAUGCAGAGGUUUGUGGAAUUCCUGGUGUAACGGUGAAAUGUGUUGAUAUCAGGAGGAACACCCAUGGCGAAGGCAGCAAACUGGGCAUCAUCUGACGCUGAGGCGCGGAAAGCGUGGGUAGCAAACGAGGA